GGGAGAGAAUGUGACAUUUUCACACCACGGAGCCCAGCAGAGUUGUACUGAGCUGUGCCUGGUUUCCCAAAAGCAUCUUAAGGCUAAAGUUCAUCAUUUGAACCUUUCAUAGGAGGUUAAAUCUCCAAGCUGUUAACCAAAACUAUUGUUACUAAAGUUGCUCUUAAUCGCUUAUUAUUUACUGACCACUCAGAAAAGGUCUGUGUUAGAUAUGUUUUUUCCCAACUGUCACAUUAUACACAGAUUUUCACUAAACAUAUAAACAUAUUAAUUCUCAGUCUCUAACCGCUGAUAAAUUCCCAAAGGAUAAAAAUAUGUUUAAAAUGAAAACUGAUAAAUAGCCUACUUACUGACAUUUAUUUAAAUACAUGUUUGUUCUAUUUUGCCAUUUGGCUACUGUCAAAAAUAAUGGCCAAAUCUUGAUUUUGUGCAUUAUUAUAGGGCACGUGUCAAACUCAUUUCAAAGAGGGCCGAGUGUUUGCGGGUUUUCGCUCCUCCCUUGUACUUGAUUGAUGAAUUAAGGUCACUAAUUAGUAAGGAACUCCCCUCACCUGGUUGUCUAGGUCUUAUUUGAAAAGAAAAAACAGCAUACACUAGGACUCCACGGAAUGAAUUUGACACCCCUGUUGUAGGAUAAGCAUUAGAAUAAGCCGCCUCAAUAUUUGAAGCCAUAGGAGUUGAUACAUUGUCAGUAUUAUGGAAUAAUUCUAAUGUUAAGGUAAGAUUUUAAAGGAGAAAGCUGAUCCGAGACCAGCACUGCCUUACUUUCGAUCAACAAAAUGCCACACUUAGCGAACAUUCUCUCUGCGUGGCGUUUUAGGAAAUGUUACAUCGCCGGCCAUUGUAGGAAAGAUGCAUUGUUAAAACACUCAUAAGCCUAAGUUUCAUCGCUAUAAGGAAACCAGACCCUGGCCUGUUUACACAUCCACCCUGCUGUGGCUCACCAUGUCAGCAAGGGCCACGUAGAGGAAGACCCCAGCGGUGAGGGUGAGGAUCCAGGGUGAGAUCUGAGCAGACUGGUGGCCCAGGACAGAGCCAGUCAGCAGUCCCACGAAGCCCAGCAAGGCUGAAACAGCACUGAAGAGGACUAGUCUGCGAACAGGCCACCCUGCCCCUAGCAGCACUGCCAGGUCACCUACACAGACAGUCAACACAUUGAAUGAACCGUAUACUCCAUGGAACAUUACAGAUCAGAGAACAGCCUCAAAUCAACAGCGCAUGGAAUCUACAAGGUGUCAAAAGCGUUCCACGGGGAUUCUGGCCCAUGUUGACUCCAAUGCUUCCCACAGUGGUCAAGUUGACUAGAUGUCCUUUUGGUGGUGGAACAUUCUUGAUACACACGGGAAACUGUUGAGUGAAAAUCCCAGCAGUGUUGCAGUUCUUCACAUAUUCAAACUGGUUCGCCUGGCACGUACUACCAUAACUUGUUCAAAGGCAUUUCAAUCUUUUGUCUUGCCCAUUCACCCUCAAAUGGCACACAAACACAAUUUGUGUCAAGGCUUAAAAAUCCUUCUUUAACCUGUCUCCUCCCCUUCAUCUACACUGAUUGAAGUGGAUUUAACACGUGAUCAUAUCUUUAACCUGGAUUCACCAGGUCAGUCUGUCAUGGAAAGAGAAGCUGUUUUUAAUGUUUUGUACACUCAGUUGAAAGGGAAGGUUUUC